rnacentral:rRNA from 1 species
CCUACGGGAGACUGCAGUGGGGAAUAUUGCACAAUGGGGGAAACCCUGAUGCAGCGACGCCGCGUGAGUGAAGAAGUAUUUCGGUAUGUAAAGCUCUAUCAGCAGGGAAGAAAAUGACGGUACCUGACUAAGAAGCCCCGGCUAACUACGUGCCAGCAGCCGCGGUAAAACGUAGGGGGCAAGCGUUAUCCGGAUUGAAUGGGUGUUAAGGGAGCGUAGGUGGCAUGGUAAGCCAGAAGUGAAAACCCAGGGCUCAACUCUGUGGAUUGCUUUUGAAACUAUCAAGCUAGAGUGGUGGAGGGGUAAGCGGAAUUCCUAGUGUAGCGGUGAAAUGCGUAGAUAUUAGGAGGAACACCGGUGGCGAAGGCAGCUUACUGGACAGAAACUGACACUGAGGCUCGAAAGCGUGGGGAGCAAACAGGAUUAGAUACCCGGGUAGUC